AGCGAACGCUGGCGGCAGGCCUAACACAUGCAAGUCGAACGAACCUUUCGGGGUUAGUGGCGGACGGGUGAGUAACACGUGGGAACGUGCCUUUAGGUUCGGAAUAACUCAGGGAAACUUGUGCUAAUACCGAAUGUGCCCUUCGGGGGAAAGAUUAAUCGCCUUUAGAGCGGCCCGCGUCUGAUUAGCUAGUUGGUUGAGGUAAUGGCGCACCAAGGCGAAGAUCAGUAGCUGGGCUGAGAGGAUGAUCAGCCACAUUGGGACUGAGACACGGCCCAAACUCCUACGGGAGGCAGCAGUGGGGAAUCUUGCGCAAUGGGCGAAAGGCUGACGCAGCCAUGCCGCGUGAAUGAUGAAGGUCUUAGGAUUGUAAAAUUCUUUCACCGGGGACGAUAAUGACGGUACCCGGAGAAGAAGCCCCGGCUAACUUCGUG
rnacentral:rRNA from 1 species